rnacentral:rRNA from 1 species
CACGGGGGGAGCAAGCGUUGUCCGGAAUUAUUGGGCGUAAAGGGCUCGUAGGCGGUUUGUCGCGUCGGGAGUGAAAUCCACUGGCUUAACUGGUGGCUUGCUUUCGAUACGGGCAGACUGGAGGUAUGCAGGGGAGAACGGAAUUCCUGGUGUAGCGGUGAAAUGCGCAGAUAUCAGGAGGAACACCGGUGGCGAAGGCGGUUCUCUGGGCAUGUCCUGACGCUGAGGAGCGAAAGUGUGGGGAGCGAACAGG